UACGUAGGGUGCAAGCGUUUAAUCGGAAUUACUGGGCGUAAAGCGUGCGUAGGCGGUUUGUUAAGUCUGUUGUGAAAGCCCUGGGCUCAACCUGGGAAUGGCAAUGGAAACUGGCGAGCUAGAGUCAGGGUAGAGGGUAGGUGGAAUUCCCGGUGUAGCGGUGAAAUGCGUAGAGAUCGGGAGGAACAUCUGUGGCGAAGGCGGCCACCUGGACCAUGACUGACGCUGAGGCACGAAAGCGUGGGGAGCAAACAGGG
rnacentral:rRNA from 1 species